CCUACGGGAGGCUGCAGUAGGGAAUAUUGCUCAAUGGGGGAAACCCUGAAGCAGCAACGCCGCGUGGAGGAUGAAGGUUUUAGGAUUGUAAACUCCUUUUGUUAGAGAAGAUUAUGACGGUAUCUAACGAAUAAGCACCGGCUAACUCCGUGCCAGCAGCCGCGGUAAUACGGAGGGUGCAAGCGUUACUCGGAAUCACUGGGCGUAAAGAGUGCGUAGGCGGCACGUUAAGUCUGGUGUUAAAGGCGGAAGCUCAACUUCCGUAGGGCACUGGAUACUGGCGAGCUUGAAUGCGGUAGAGGUAAAGGGAAUUCCUGGUGUAGCGGUGAAAUGCGUAGAUAUCAGGAGGAACAUCGGUGGCGUAAGCGCUUUACUGGGCCGUAAUUGACACUGAGGAACGAAAGCCGGGGUAGCAAAUGGGAUUAGAUACCCCAGUAGUC
rnacentral:rRNA from 1 species